rnacentral:rRNA from 1 species
AUUGAACGCUAGCGGGAUGCUUUACACAUGCAAGUCGAACGGCAGCGCGGACUUCGGUCUGGCGGCGAGUGGCGAACGGGUGAGUAAUGUAUCGGAACGUGCCCAGUAGCGGGGGAUAACUACGCGAAAGCGUAGCUAAUACCGCAUACGCCCUACGGGGGAAAGCAGGGGAUCGUAAGACCUUGCACUAUUGGAGCGGCCGAUAUCGGAUUAGCUAGUUGGUGAGGUAACGGCUCACCAAGGCGACGAUCCGUAGCUGGUUUGAGAGGACGACCAGCCAGACUGGGACUGAGACACGGCCCAGACUCCUACGGGAGGCAGCAGUGGGGAAUUUUGGACAAUGGGGGCAACCCUGAUCCAGCCAUCCCGCGUGUGCGAUGAAGGCCUUCGGGUUGUAAAGCACUUUUGGCAGGAAAGAAACGUCGCGGGCUAAUACCCCGUGGAACUGACGGUACCUGCAGAAUAAGCACCGGCUAACUACGUG